rnacentral:misc_RNA from 1 species
UCCCCGUUAACCGGGGCAGUCCCCCUAGAGUUCCCGACUUGACUCGCUGGCAACUAACAACAGGGGUUGCGCUCGUUAUAGGACUUAACCUGACACCUCACGGCACGAGCUGACGACAACCAUGCAGCACCUGUGCACGCUCCCUUGCGGGUCCUCGGUGUCUCCACCUCGUACCACGUGCAUGUCAAGCCCAGGUAAGGUUCUUCGCGUUGCAUCGAAUUAAGCCACAUGCUCCGCCGCUUGUGCGGGCCCCCGUCAAUUCCUUUGAGUUUUAGCCUUGCGGCCGUACUCCCCAGGCGGAGUGCUUAAUGCGUUAGCUGCGGCACGGAGAGGGUUGAAGACCUCCCCACACCUAGCACUCAACGUUUACGGCUGGGACUAC